AAAAUACCCUGAUGGAGGAAUCUGCUGAGCAGGCUCAGCGCCGGGAUGAGAUGCUUCGAAUGUACCAAGCCCUGAAAGAAGCCCUUGGGAUAAUUGGGGACAUCAGCACGGCCACCGUGUCCACUCCGGCACCCCCUCCAGUGGAUGAUUCCUGGAUACAGCACUCUCGCAGGUCACCUCCUCCAAGCCCCACAACCCAAAGGAGGCCAACCCUAAGUGCUCCCCUCUCAAGGCCCACAUCCGGCCGAGGACCAGCUCCUGCCAUUCCCUCUCCUGGCCCCCACUCUGGGGCUCCCCCAGUCCCAUUCCGUCCAGGCCCAUUACCUCCUUUCCCCAGCAGCAGUGACUCCUUCGGAGCCCCUCCACAAGUUCCAUCUAGGCCCACGAGGGCCCCGCCCAGUGUCCCAAGGUAAGGCAUGGAGCAGAAAUUGGGGGGUGGUGUGCCUUGGUUCUCUUCUCAUAGAAUGACAGACAAAAUUUAUUUGAAAGAGAAAAUUGCAAAGAUCUUGUCGUACGUGUUUGCAGUUUUCACAAUGAACAGGAAAAUUGCCAACUCUGUUAUGCCAUUUAAAAAUCACUUGUGAUCAUUGAAAUUUCUCAUUUAUCAAUUGGCACAAAGUAAAUAGGACUAAAGAACACUGGGUCCCAAUGAAUGACAUUUUGGCAGCUAUUGGGAGAAUUUGAGGGCUUUGAAACAAAAGAGCUAUGGAGGAUUGUAGCAAGCUGUGUGUUCUAUAGGUCAUGAGAGUUCCAUGGACUAAAGUCUUGCCUUCUCCAUUACCAAAAGAAUUCUAGAAAACCACUGACUUAGA
rnacentral:sRNA from 1 species